GCAGUGGUGGUUCAGUGGUAGAAUUAUUGUCUUCUAUGUGGGAGACCCGAGUUCGAUUCCCAGCCAAUGUA
rnacentral:tRNA from 1 species